AGCAGCCGCGGUAAUUCCAGCUCCAAUAGCGUAUAUUAAAGUUGUUGCAGUUAAAAAGCUCGUAGUUGAAUUUCGGGGUCAGUAGGCUGGUCGUGCCACAGGUAUGUACUGGUCUCACUGAUUCCUCCUUCCUGAUGAACCGUAAUGCCAUUAAUUUGGUGUUGCGGGGAAUCUGGACUGUUACUUUGAAAAAAUUAGAGUGUUUAAAGCAGGCUAACGCUUGAAUACAUUAGCAUGGAAUAAUGAAAUAGGACGAUCGAUCCUAUUUUGUUGGUUUCUAGGAUUGACGUAAUGAUUAAUAGGGAUAGUUGGGGGCAUUAGUAUUCAAUUGUCAGAGGUGAAAUUCUUGGAUUUAUUGAAGACUAACUACUGCGAAAGCAUUUGCCAAGGAUGUUUUCAUUAAUCAAGAACGAAAGUUAGGGGAUCGAAGACGAUCAGAUACCGUCGUAGUCUUAACCAUAAACUAUGCCGACUAGGGAUCGGAUGAUGUUAAUUUUUAAUGACUCAUUC
rnacentral:misc_RNA from 2 species